rnacentral:rRNA from 1 species
AUUGAACGCUGGCGACAGGCCUAACACAUGCAAGUCGAACGGUAACAGGAAGAAGCUUGCUUCUUUGCUGACGAGUGGCGGACGGGUGAGUAAUGUCUGGGCAACUGCCUGAUGGAGGGGGAUAACUACUGGAAACGGUAGCUAAUACCGCAUAACGUUGCAAGACCAAAGAGGGGGACCUUCGGGCCUCUUGCUAUCGGAUGUGCCCAGAUGGGAUUAGCUUGUUGGUGGGGUAACGGCUCACCAAGGCGACGAUCCCUAGCUGGUCUGAGAGGAUGACCAGCCACACUGGAACUGAGACACGGUCCAGACUCCUACGGGAGGCAGCAGUGGGGAAUAUUGCACAAUGGGCGCAAGCCUGAUGCAGCCAUGCCGCGUGUAUGAAGAAGGCCUUCGGGUUGUAAAGUACUUUCAGCGGGGAGGAAGGGAGUAAAGUUAAUACCUUUGCUCAUUGACGUCACCCGCAGAAGAAGCACCGGCUAACUCCGUGCCAGCAGCCGCUGUAA